UGGGGAAUUGUUCGCAAUGGGCGCAAGCCUGACGACGCAACGCCGCGUGGAGGAUGAAGGUCUUCGGAUUGUAAACUCCUGUUGCCCGGGACGAAUAGCUCCGACCUAACACGUCGGAGUCUGACGGUACCGGGUGAGGAAGCCCCGGCUAACUCUGUGCCAGCAGCCGCGGUAAUACAGAGGGGGCAAGCGUUGUUCGGAAUUACUGGGCGUAAAGGGCGUCGUAGGCGGCCUUCUAAGUCGAACGUGAAAUCCCCGGGCUUCAACCCGGGAACUGCGUCCGAGACUGGAAGGCUUGAAUCCGGGAGAGGGAUGUGGAAUUCCAGGUGUAAGCGGUGAAAUGCGUAGAUAUCUGGAGGAACAUCGGUGGCGAAGGCGGCAUCCUGGACCGGUAUUGACGCUGAGGCGCGAAAGCCAGGGGAGCAAACGGGAUUAGAUACCCCGGUAGUCCUGGCCCUAAACGAUGAAUGCUUGGUGUGGCGGGUAUC
rnacentral:rRNA from 1 species